GACGAACGCUGGCGGCGUGCUUAACACAUGCAAGUCGAACGGAAAGGCGCUGCUUUUGUGGGGUGCUCGAGUGGCGAAGGGGUGAGUAACACGUGAGUAACCUGCCCUUGACUUUGGGAUAACUUCACGAAACUGGGGCUAAUACCGGAUAGGAGCUCCUGCUGCAUGGUGGGGGUUGGAAAGUUUCGGCGGUUGGGGAUGGACUCGCGGCUUAUCAGCUUGUUGGUGGGGUAGUGGCUUACCAAGGCUGUGACGGGUAGCCGGCCUGAGAGGGUGACCGGCCUCAUGGGGACUACGAGAGGGAGCAGUGUGCAACGGUGGGCAGCGGGGGGAAGUAUGACACAGUGAGCGGGCGCCUGAUACGGAAGCGUUGGGUUCGGAAAGACCGCUUUCUGGGUAAGAACAGCUGUCGCCUGAGACGAAGCGGGAUUGACGGUAAUGAAUAAAGAAGCACCGGCUAACUACGUG
rnacentral:rRNA from 1 species